rnacentral:lncRNA from 1 species
GCGUUCUUCAUCCGCGUAAUUGCCGUAAAUAUGGUCCGUUAAAUGUGUCGGUAAAUUAAGACGCUGAAAAUACCAAGCCUAAAUUAAAAAAAUAAGUAAAAAUUAUUAAAGCAACAUAAGACUAUAGGUAUAGUUUAUAACAUGGAUUGUAAAAUAACUGGAUAGGAAACUUCCUGACGUCAUUGACUCAUCCUUGUUGAAAAACGUGACGUCACGCGUAUUGCGAAUAUUACCAAAGUUCUCGGCAUUUUUGUUGUUUCGCUAUAUUUUCCACUUUAAAAGGGUGAUAUUGAAGCAUACACUGGUCUAAUUGUUUUAAAAACAUGCCUAAGCCACG